UACGAAGGGGACUAGCGUUGUUCGGAAUUACUGGGCGUAAAGCGCGCGUAGGCGGAUCGCUAAGUCAGGGGUGAAAUGCCGAGGCUCAACCUCGGAACUGCCUUUGAUACUGACGAUCUGGAGAUCGGGAGAGGUUGGUGGAAUUCCGAGUGUAGAGGUGAAAUUCGUAGAUAUUCGGAGGAACACCAGAAGCGAAGGCGGCCAACUGGCCCGAUACUGACGCUGAGGCGCGAAAGCGUGGGGAGCAAACAGG
rnacentral:rRNA from 1 species